GCCCGAAUGGCGGAAUCGGUAGACGCCGGGGACUUAAAAUCCCCUGACUUUCGGGUCGUGCCGGUUCGAGUCCGGCUUUGGGCA
rnacentral:tRNA from 1 species